rnacentral:piRNA from 1 species
UACAAGCCAAGUGUUGCCAAGAUUGC